GGGCUGGAGGCGGUGAAGGCUGCGGUGAAGGCUCCGCUGAGGCUCCGCAGCGGCUUACGCAGCGCCUGGGCCGGCCCAGUAGGGUACGAUACGAGCCGCAGCCUCUUGGUUACAACGCGGGGGUCGCCAGGAGUAAAGGCAGAGUAACGCUGCGGGGAAAAGCUGCUCGCCCGCGGUCAGGAGUCUCCCCGGGCCGCCGCCGCUGCCAAAAAGAGCUUUUCGGGGAGGAAAAAAAUCCCAAUUUUCUCCUCCUUUCCCCCCGGUGUUACCGCUCACGGGGGCUGAGGCGCUGGCACCGCAGCUUCCAGCGCUGUCCUCCCGGCUGCGGCGCGCUAGGGCUGCCCGGGGCUGCUUCACGACAGGCACUGAUGGCAGGGUCACAGUCUCUGCCCUGCUUGCGCAGAAGGACAACUCCAGGAGCCACCAAAGGAAAUGGGAAACCCAAAGGGAUGAACUUACACUAAGGGUCUAGGCAGAGAAGUUGCUGGAAACAUCCACAAGGAGAUCGGAGCCACAGAGUGCUGUGGGUGGGCAGAGCCCCUCAAAAGCAUCCAGCCCAAAGAGCAGCACCACAGCUCAGGGGCCGUGCCCAGCAGCUGCCCUUGUCCAGAACUGCCCCUGCUGGGGUGCUUCUGCCACCACUGUGAUUGGUGCCUACUGCUGCGCCCGCAGAGGGGACGGCUCCUCAGUGGUGGGCACCAAAGGCAGCUCCAGCUGUAGCAGGCAGCAACACAAACAGGAUUGUGACACAGCUCUGGUCAGCACCACGCUCCCUGGCACCUCCUGUGGGUGCACCUCCUGUGGGUGCACCUCCCUGAUGUCACCCAAUUGCAUCACCACUGAAUAAAGCCAGGCACAAAGCAAGCAUAGGGGUUAGCAGAGCUUGGCUUGGGCACAGCACAGUGCCAGCUUGCUGUGGCAGUGCCCUGCCCCAUGCUGACUGGGGUUCCUUACAACCUCUUCCCUCACCCAGCCCUUUCACUGCUCUCCUCCACCUUUACUUUUAGAACCAUCGAAUGCCUUGGGUUGGAAAAGCCUUUUAGGAUCCUCCAACCCAACCAUUCUCAGCUCUGCCCAGGCUGGGGCUGAGCCAUAGCCCUCAGCACUCUGAAACACCUCCAGUGAUGGGCAUUCAGCCACCUCCCUGGGCAGCCUAUGCCAGGCUGCAAGAAUCCUUCCAGUCAGUAAGUUUCUUCUCAUGUCCAACCUGAACCUGCCCUGGGGCAACCUGAGGCCAUUUCCUCUUCUCCUGUCACCCCCAGCUCCCUCAGCUGCUCCUCCCCAGCCCUGAUCUCCAGACCCACCUUUGGUGCCCUUCUCUGGACCUGCUCCAGACCCUCAAUGCCCUUCCUGCAGUAAGGGCCCAAACCUGACCCCAGCACUCAAGCUGUGUCCUCACCAGUGCUGAGCACAGAUGGACAAUCCCUUCCCUGCUCCUGCUGCCCACACCGGCGCUGAUCCAGGCCAGGCUGCUGGUGCCCUUCUU